rnacentral:rRNA from 1 species
GGAAGGAUCAUUAUCAAUG